rnacentral:rRNA from 1 species
CCUACGGGUGGCAGCAGUGGGGAAUAUUGGGCAAUGGGCGCAAGCCUGACCCAGCAACGCCGCGUGAAGGAAGAAGGCUUUCGGGUUGUAAACUUCUUUUAGGAGGGAAGAGCAGAAGCCGGUACCUCUUGAAUAAGCCACGGCUAACUACGUGCCAGCAGCCGCGGUCAUACGGAGGUGGCAAGCGGUGUCCGGAUUGACUGGGUGUAAAGGGCGUGCAGCCGGGAAGACAAGUCAGUUGUGAAUUCCCGCGGCUCAACCGCGGAACAGCAUUUGAAACUGUUUGUCUUGAGUACCGGAGAGGUCAUCGGAAUGCCUGGUGUAGCGGUGAAAUGCGUAGAUAUAAGGAAGAACACCAGUGGCGAAGGCGGAUGACUGGACGGCAACUGACGGUGAGGCGCGAAAGCGUGGGGAGCAAACAGGAUUAGAUACCCGAGUAGUC